rnacentral:rRNA from 1 species
GACGAACGCUGGCGGCGUGCUUAACACAUGCAAAUCGAACGGAAAGGCCCUGCUUUUGUGGGGUGCUCGAGUGGCGAACGGGUGAGUAACACGUGAGUAACCUGCCCUUGACUUUGGGAUAACUUCAGGAAACUGGGGCUAAUACCGGAUAGGAGCUCCUGCUGCAUGGUGGGGGUUGGACAGUUUCGGCGGUUGGGGAUGGACUCGCGGCUUAUCAGCUUGUUGGUGGGGUAGUGGCUUACCAAGGCUUUGACGGGUAGCCGGCCUGAGAGGGUGACCGGCCACAUUGGGACUGAGAUACGGCCCAGACUCCUACGGGAGGCAGCAGUGGGGAAUAUUGCACAAUGGGCGGAAGCCUGAUGCAGCAACGCCGCGUGCGGGAUGACGGCCUUCGGGUUGUAAACCGCUUUCGCCUGUGACGAAGCGUGAGUGACGGUAAUGGGUAAAGAAGCACCGGCUAACUACGUG